AUUGAACGCUGGCGGCAGGCUUAACACAUGCAAGUCGAACGAGUGGCGGACGGGUGAGUAAUGCUUGGGAAACUACCUUAUGGAGGGGGAUAACUACGGGAAACGGUAGCUAAUACCGCGUACCAUAGGAUGAGCCCACAUGGGAUUAGCUAGUUGGUGGGGUAAAGGCUCACCAAGCCGACGAUCCCUAGCUGGUCUGAGAGGAUGACCGGCCACACUGGGACUGAGACACGGUCCAGACUCCUACGGGAGGCAGCAGUGGGGAAUAUUGCACAAUGGGGGCAACCCUGACGCAGCCAUGCCGCGUGAAUGAAGAAGGCCUUCGGGUUGUAAAGUACUUUCGGUGGGGAGGCGUUACCCACAGAAGAAGCACCGGCUAACUCCGUGCCAGCCGCCGCGGUAAUUC
rnacentral:rRNA from 1 species